rnacentral:rRNA from 1 species
UUCGUAGGCGGAAUUAUAAGUCAGUGGUGAAAUCCUGCAGCUUAACUGUAGAACUGCCAUUGAUACUGUAAUUCUUGAGUGUAGUUGAGGUGGGCGGAAUGUGUCAUGUAGCGGUGAAAUGCAUAGAUAUGACACAGAACGCCGAUAGUGAAGACAGCUCACCAAACUAUUACUGACGCUGAGGAACGAAAGCGUGGGGAGCGAACAGGAUUAGAUACCCUGGUAGUCC